rnacentral:rRNA from 1 species
UUCUGGUUGAUCCUGCCAGAGGUUACUGCUAUCGAGGUUCGACUAAGCCAUGCGAGUCGAAUGUAGCAAUACAUGGCGUACUGCUCAGUAACACGUGGACAACCUGCCCUUAGGUUGGGUAUAAACCCGGGAAACUGGGUAUAAUCCCCUAUAAGUCUCGGCUGCUGGAAUGCACCGAGAUUAAAAGCUCCGGCGCCUAAGGAUGGGUCUGCGGCCUAUCAGGUAGUAGUGGGUGUAGCGUACCUACUAGCCUACGACGGGUACGGGUUGUGAGAGCAAGAGCCCGGAGAUGGAUUCUGAGACACGAAUCCAGGCCCUACGGGGUGCAGCAGGCGCGAAAACUUUACAAUGCUGGCAACAGCGAUAAGGGAACCUCGAGUGCCAGGUUACAAAUCUGGCUGUCGAGAUGCCUAAAAAGCAUUUCAUAGCAAGGGCCGGGCAAGACCGGUGCCAGCCGCCGCGGUAACACCGGCGGCUCGAGUGGUAACCGUUAUUAUUGGGUCUAAGGGGUCUGUAGCCGGCCGGAUAAGUCUCUUGAGAAAUCUGGCAGCUCAACUGUCAGGCUUUCAGGAGAUACUGUCUGGCUCGAGGCCGGGAGAGGUGAGAGGUACUUCAGGGGUAGGGGUGAAAUCUUGUAAUCCUUGAAGGACCACCAGUGGCGAAGGCGUCUCACCAGAACGGACCUGACGGCAAGGGACGAAAGCUAGGGGCACGAACCGGAUUAGAUACCCGGGUAGUCCUAGCCGUAAACGAUACUCGCUAGGUGUCGGCCACGGUGCGACCGUUGUCGGUGCCGUAGGGAAGCCGUGAAGCGAGCCACCUGGGAAGUACGGCCGCAAGGCUGAAACUUAAAGGAAUUGGCGGGA